rnacentral:ribozyme from 1 species
GUACAUGGAGCAGCAUGCCGUGGCACGCCUGAUUGGCGCUCCUCCUGGCUACGUCGGUCAUGAGGAAGGCGGUCAGCUG